ACAGCUCACUGGUCGAGUGGGGGCGCGCCGACAAUACACGGGGCUAAGCUGGACGCCGAAGCGGCGGAAUGUAGAUACAUUGGUAGGGGAGCUUCCCAUGGGCGGAGAAGCCGGAGGGCGACCGACGGUGGAGCGCAUGGGAGUGAGAAUGCUGGCAUGAGUAGCGAGAGACGAGAGAGUAACUCGUCCGCCGUGAACCCGAGGUUUCCUGGGCAAGGCUAAUCCUCCCAGGGUCAGUCGGGGGCUAAGGCGAGGCCGGGAGGCGUAGCCGACGCGCAGCAGGCAGACAUUCCUGCACCGCGCACGCGGCGCUACGACCGACGGGGCGACGGAUGGGGGUGGCUCGGCGGGGUUCUGGACGUCCCCGUGAUGGAGCGCGGCCCGCGGACCAGGGAAAUCCGGUCCGCAUUAAGGGCGAGGCUCCGGACGAAGCACUUAAGCGAAGCGAGUGAGCCCGAGGUCCCUAGAAAAACCCCUAGGCAGGCGCGUGCGCGCCCGUACCGCAAACCGACACAGGUGGGUGGGUAGAACAUACCGAGGCGAUGGGUCAACCAUGGUCAAGGAACUCGGCACAAUGGCCCCGUAACUUCGGGAGAAGGGGUGCCCGCGCGUACGUGAACCGGCUUGCCCGGGGAGCGGAGGCGGGCCGCAGUGGAGAGGCCCAAGCGACUGUUUACCAAAAACACAGGACUCUGCAGAAGCCGCAAGGCGACGUAUAGGGUCUGACGCCUGCCCGGUGCCGGAAGGUCACGCGGAGGAGUUAGCGCAUCGCGCGAAGCCCCGAAGCCAAGCCCCGGUAAACGGCGGCCGUAACUAUAACGGUCCUAAGGUAGCGAAAUUCCUUGUCGGGUAAGUUCCGACCUGCACGAAUGGCGUAACGACUUGGGCGCUGUCUCGACCAUGGACCCGGUGAAAUUGCACUGGUCGUGAAGAUGCGACUUACCCGCGGAAGGACGGAAAGACCCCGUGAACCUUCACUGCAGCUUGGCAUUGGCCGCUGGUCCCGCGUGUAGAGGAUAGGCAGGAGGCUAAGAUCCGGAGGCGCCAGCCCCCGGGGAGCCGCCCUUGGAAUACUGCCCUCGCGCGACCGGCGUCCUAACCCGAGGCCGUCAACCGGCUCGGGGACCGUGCCAGGCGGGCAGUUUGACUGGGGCGGUCGCCUCCUAAAGGGUAACGGAGGCGCGCGAAGGUCCGCUCGGGACGGUCGGCAACCGUCCUUUUGAAUGCAAGAGUACAAGCGGGCUUGACUGCGAGGCCCACAAGCCGA
rnacentral:rRNA from 1 species